rnacentral:rRNA from 1 species
UUCCGGUUGAUCCUGCCGGAGGUUACUGCUAUCGGGGUCCGACUAAGCCAUGCGAGUUGAAUGUCCGAAAGGGCAUAGCGCACUGCUCAGUAACACGUGGACAACCUGCCCUGAGGACUGGAAUAAUCCCGGGAAACUGGGAGUAAUUCCAGAUAUGCCAGGGAACCUGGAAUGGUUUCUGGCAGAAAUGCUCCGGCGCCUCAGGAUGGGUCUGCGGCCUAUCAGGGUAGUAGUGGGUGUAACGUACCCACUAGCCUACGACGGGUACGGGUUGUGAGAGCAAGAGCCCGGAGAUGGAUUCUGAGACAUGAAUCCAGGCCCUACGGGGUGCAGCAGGCGCGAAAACUUUACAAUGCGGGCAACCGCGAUAAGGGGACCUCGAGUGCUGGGUUACAAACCUGGCUGUUGGGCUGCCUAAAAAGCAGUCUAUAGCAAGGGCCGGGCAAGACCGGUGCCAGCCGCCGCGGUAACACCGGCGGCUCGAGUGGUAACCGCUGUUAUUGGGUCUAAAGGGUCUGUAGCCUGCCGGCUAAGUCUCUUGGGAAAUCUGGCAUCUCAAAUGUCAGGCUGCCAGGGGAUACUGGUCAGCUUGGGACCGGGAGAGGUGAGAGGUACCUCAGGGGUAGGGGUGAAAUCUUGUAAUCCUUGAGGGACCACCAGUGGCGAAGGCGUCUCACCAGAACGGAUCCGACGGCAAGGGACGAAAGCUAGGGGCACGAACCGGAUUAGAUACCCGGGUAGUCCUAGCCGUAAACGAUACUCGCUAGGUGUCGGCCACGGUGCGACCGUGGUCGGUGCCGUAGGGAAGCCGUGAAGCGAGCCACCUGGGAAGUACGGCCGCAAGGCUGAAACUUAAAGGAAUUGGCGGGGGAGCACA